GAUGAAUGCUGGCGGCGUGCCUAACACAUGCAAGUCGAGCGGCAGCGAGGGGUGCUUGCACCCUGUCGGCGAGCGGCGAACGGCUGAGUAACGCGUAGGAAUUUGCCCCAAAGUGAGGAAUAUCUGCCCGAAAGGGUAGCUAAUGCCGCAUAUGGUCUUCGGAUUAAAGGAUUUAUCCGCUUUGGGAGAAGCCUGCGUUGGAUUAGGUUGUUGGUAGGGUAAUGGCCUACCAAGCCGACGAUCCAUAGCUGGUCUGAGAGGAUGAUCAGCCAGACUGGAACUGAGACACGGUCCAGACUCCUACGGGAGGCAGCAGUGAGGAAUCUUCCACAAUGGGCGAAAGCCUGAUGGAGCAACGCCGCGUGAAGGAUGAAGGCCUUCGGGUUGUAAACUUCUUUUAUGAGUGAAGAAUAUGACGGUAACUCAUGAAUAAGCACCGGCUAACUACGUG
rnacentral:rRNA from 1 species